AUUGAACGCUGGCGGCAUGCCUUACACAUGCAAGUCGAACGGCAGCACGGGGGCAACCCUGGUGGCGAGUGGCGAACGGGUGAGUAACGCAUCGGAAUGUACCCAGUAGUGGGGGAUAACUAGUCGAAAGAUUAGCUAAUACCGCAUACGCACUGAGGUGGAAAGCGGGGGAUCGCAAGACCUCGCGCUAUUGGAGCAGCCGAUGUCCGAUUAGGUAGUUGGUGGGGUAAAGGCCUACCAAGCCUGCGAUCGGUAACUGGUCUGAGAGGACGACCAGUCACACUGGGACUGAGACACGGCCCAGACUCCUACGGGAGGCAGCAGUGGGGAAUUUUGGACAAUGGGCGCAAGCCUGAUCCAGCAAUGCCGCGUGUGUGAAGAAGGCCUUCGGGUUGUAAAGCACUUUUGGCGGGAGCGAAACGGCGUUUGCUAAUACCAGACGCUAAUGACGGUACCCGCAGAAUAAGCACCGGCUAACUACGUG
rnacentral:rRNA from 2 species